rnacentral:rRNA from 1 species
GAUGAAGCCCUUCGGGGUGGAUUAGUGGCGAACGGGUGAGUAACACGUGGGCAAUCUGCCCUUCACUCUGGGACAAGCCCUGGAAACGGGGUCUAAUACCGGAUAACACUUCCGUCCUCCUGGACGGUGGUUAAAAGCUCCGGCGGUGAAGGAUGAGCCCGCGGCCUAUCAGCUUGUUGGUGAGGUAAUGGCUCACCAAGGCGACGACGGGUAGCCGGCCUGAGAGGGCGACCGGCCACACUGGGACUGAGACACGGCCCAGACUCCUACGGGAGGCAGCAGUGGGGAAUAUUGCACAAUGGGCGAAAGCCUGAUGCAGCGACGCCGCGUGAGGGAUGACGGCCUUCGGGUUGUAAACCUCUUUCAGCAGGGAAGAAGCGAAAGUGACGGUACCUGCAGAAGAAGCGCCGGCUAACUACGUGCCAGCAGCCGCGGUAAUACGUAGGGCGCAAGCGUUGUCCGGAAUUAUUGGGCGUAAAGAGCUCGUAGGCGGCUUGUCACGUCGGUUGUGAAAGCCCGGGGCUUAACCCCGGGUCUGCAGUCGAUACGGGCAGGCUAGAGUGUGGUAGGGGAGAUCGGAAUUCCUGGUGUAGCGGUGAAAUGCGCAGAUAUCAGGAGGAACACCGGUGGCGAAGGCGGAUCUCUGGGCCAUUACUGACGCUGAGGAGCGAAAGCGUGGGGAGCGAACAGGAUUAGAUACCCUGGUAGUCCACGCCGUAAACGGUGGGAACUAGGUGUUGGCGACAUUCCACGUCGUCGGUGCCGCAGCUAACGCAUUAAGUUCCCCGCCUGGGGAGUACGGCCGCAAGGCUAAAACUCAAAGGAAUUGAC